GACGAACGCGGGCGGGGGGCUUAACACAUGCAAGUCGAACGGAAAGGCCCUGCUUUUGUGGGGUGCUCGAGUGGCGAACGGGUGAGUAACACGUGAGUAACCUGCCCUUGACUUUGGGAUAACUUCAGGAAACUGGGGCUAAUACCGGAUAGGAGCUCCUGCUGCAUGGUGGGGGUUGGAAAGUUUCGGCGGUUGGGGAUGGACUCGCGGCUUAUCAGCUUGUUGGUGGGGUAGUGGCUUACCAAGGCUUUGACGGGUAGCCGGCCUGAGAGGGUGACCGGCCACAUUGGGACUGAGAUACGGCCCAGACUCCUACGGGAGGCAGCAGUGGGGAAUAUUGCACAAUGGGCGGAAGCCUGAUGCAGCAACGCCGCGUGCGGGAUGACGGCCUUCGGGUUGUAAACCGCUUUCGCCUGUGACGAAGCGUGAGUGACGGUAAUGGGUAAAGAAGCACCGGCUAACUACGUG
rnacentral:rRNA from 1 species